UCUACGGGGUGCAGCAGUGGGGAAUAUUGGACAAUGGGCGAAAGCCUGAUCCAGCCAUGCCGCGUGUGUGAAGAAGGCCUUCGGGUUGUAAAGCACUUUCAGUGGGGAAGAAAGCCUUGGGGCUAAUACCCUCGAGGAAGGACAUCACCCACAGAAGAAGCACCGGCUAACUCCGUGCCAGCAGCCGCGGUAAUACGGAGGGUGCGAGCGUUAAUCGGAAUUACUGGGCGUAAAGCGCGCGUAGGCGGUCUGAUAAGCCGGUUGUGAAAGCCCCGGGCUCAACCUGGGAACGGCAUCCGGAACUGUCAGGCUAGAGUGCAGGAGAGGAAGGUAGAAUUCCCGGUGUAGCGGUGAAAUGCGUAGAGAUCGGGAGGAAUACCAGUGGCGAAGGCGGCCUUCUGGACUGACACUGACGCUGAGGUGCGAAAGCGUGGGUAGCAAACAGGAUUAGAUACCCUAGUAGUC
rnacentral:rRNA from 1 species